rnacentral:lncRNA from 13 species
ACUCUCGUUUUCUGUGUACCUACAGGCCCAACACUACAUGGAAGCUGCCAAGGCUUGGAGCUUUGAUCCUCUGAAACAGUGGCCUGAACUGCACCUUGGCCACUUUUAGCCAUGGCUGGCACUGGAGCAUAUGGGACACAUAGUGCCUCGUCACAAGACUGCACAGAGAAGAGGCUGCUGAGCCCUAGGGCGACGUGGGAUAACAUGAAUAUGCAGUAAGAAGCAAGUAUGUUGUAUCAUUUAAAAAUCCAUGAGUAGUUGUCUUUGUCACCAUAAUUUUAUAGAAAUUCAUAGAUAAACAUUUAGUAUUUAUACA